rnacentral:lncRNA from 1 species
AUUAAUUUUUAAAAUCAAAUAGAUCGAAUUAAAGAUAAUAUAAAGGAAUAGUAUAGCUCGAAUUCUACAUAACUAAGGAUUAGCACAAUCGACCAUCAUGAUCAUAUAAUUUAACUCAAGUUUACUAUCAAGAGAUAAGAUUAAAUAAAUUAGUCAUAUAAAUGUCAAUCCAAUGAGAUGCUCAAGAUCCCAACAUAUACGAAGCACACCCAUUUAAACAAACUCUCAACAAUUGUAAAAUUGAAAGAAAGGACAUAUCAUACCUUGCUAAAUUCAGUUUUACUUCAAGCAUCACAUAAUAUGAACUACUCUUUAUAUCUCAUAGUGCAAG